GAAACCUAGAAGGAAAUUAGUAGCCAAAUAAUCAGACUUCCUGACUUUAUUAUUACCUUUGUGGCCAAGGCAAGUCAUUUUCAGCAUUAAUUACAAGCAGAGAGGGAAUGGGCCAGCUAUCUUGUCUCAAACUCUGCGAUGUUUUGUUUUUGUUCUGUUUUUUUUUUUUUUCUUCCUGCACUGGCGCUGGGGUGGGGAUGUGAACAGAGCCAAGAAAGAACAGACAAAACAGCCCCUCUCUGGAUAAAUCUUUGCAUCUCCUGACUAGCAGGACAGAGGAGUCCCAGCCGAGCAGACCUCCUUUUAUUAAAACCGGAGUGUUUUCCAUCAUUUGGCCUUUACAUGUUCCACGUUUCAUUUGCUGAAAUUACUGGCAGGUUUAUCUGCAACAAAGACAGAAAGAGAGCAAGAGGCAGCAGCCCAGUUCUGAAACACCCCUCUGAGAAGCCCAGCUCGGACGUGCGAAGCAGACGGUGGUGGCUUUUCCACCCUCAUCUUCUCCCUGGUGGUUUCUCAUCUCACAGUAGAAUUUCGUUUCCCCUAGAAACUUGGCACCGGAGGUGUCAGCCCGGGAACAUAUUUGUUUGUGUAAAUUAAAAGGAGAAUAUGUUUUGACCAUAUUUAAGUUCUAGCUGUGCUAAAGAAAUAAAUACUGAGUUGC
rnacentral:lncRNA from 1 species